ensembl:lncRNA
UACAAACUCGGGAGUGCGACUUUGAUACUGGUGGAGCAGUUGGGCGCUCCUCGCUUCUUGCUCUUCCUUCAGCUUUUAAAUACUGUUAAACUACCUUCUUCCCUACCUACCUCCUUUCCUUCCUCUCCCCAGACCUGCCAGCUUUUCGUCACCAAUUUCUCUUUCCGGUCUUGCUCAACCUGCUCGUCGUCCUAUGUCCUCCAUCCAGUUUAGGGUGCUAUUCGCCAUAAGCCUAGAAUUAUUGCCAACUCCUCCUCUGUAAUCCCCCCUACAGAUUUUGCAGAUCUUUUCUGUCCGCUAUAAUGGCGAUAACGAACGUAUUGAUGAUUCCUGUUUAUAUGUCUAGGAUUUCUGUAUACUAAAAUACUCGGGGUUUUGGGGGUGGGGAGGGAGGAACAUUGCCAUUUAAAAACUGCUUUUUCAGGGGCACCUGGCUGACCCAGUUGGAAGAGCGUGCGACUUUUGAUCUCCUGGUCGUGAGUUUGAGCCCCACGUUUGGUGUAGAGAUUACAUAAAUAGAAUUUUUUAAAAACUGCUGUUUUCAGUCUGUAGUACAGAGAACCUUCAGGUCAUCUUCAUAGCACAUGUCCUUGGUCUGGAAUGAACACUUUGAGAGGCCCCUUUCCUUUGGAUGUAAGGCUAGUACCACCUACCCACGGUUCUGGUAGAAGAGUAUCAAGGAGUAUGUAUUAGCUUGGCAAAGACUUGUAUCUUAGAUGUGUUGAUGAAGUGAGGAAAUGCCCCUGUAUUAUUUACAUCUUCUGGGAAGGAAGCUGAAUGCAGACUCCUUUCUUUAAAGUUCCAGGUUUACUGGAACCUACCCAAAGGACAGAGGAUGAACUGACUGAGGCCAGCUGGGAGCAAAGAACAACACGAGCCCCCGUCAUCGUAGAAUCAGAAAAUUCCCAACCAUGUCAGGACAUGAAGGAAGGGGUCAUGCUCUGUUCCCAAUCUCCUCUGCUAAUCCUUGGGGACACGUGCAGUCAGGACCCUGGACACAGCAAGGAGGAAAUGAAGAAAUCAGGGAUGCUUGCUUCAUUCAUGUUUAGUACUAAGUCAUUCACUCUCCCUUUGGGCUUCCUUUCUCUGGCUCCUCUAUGGCUACCCUCAAAGAAGUAGUUCCUUUAGUGUCUAGUCUAUAGCUAAUACAGGAUUGAUCAUUUCCUUAACCUUUCUGAUUUGGGGGAAGAUUAAUUAUUCCUUUUUGUUGUUUUAUAACUGGUAAAUACCGGGUCUCCUUGGCUGCAGCCCUGGGAAUCACAGAAGAAGAAUAUUUACUUGGAGUGUGCCUAUCCCUAGAGACACUUUCUGGCCCAGGAGUCCAGACUGACGCGUGAAGCUGACUCAACAACUUUCUAGGACCUGACCACCCUCCCUGCUUCACCCCUGUAGUGCUUCACGACCCUGAUGUUCUCCAGGAGGUAUCUCAAGGGCCAGGCAGCCCACAUAUGGAAAGUUGAUUAUGGUUUAACUCGAAAGAACCAGACUUCUUGGGCUUUUGGUGGUCAGUGUGUGGGGACAGCUAUGAGAGCGGGAAAAGAAGAGGAAAAUAGGCAUGAAGGAGAAGAUCAUAUAGAAAGAGAAAGGCACAGGGAUGCACACGCAUGCUCACACGCAAGCAUUUUCAACCCUGGCUCUGAAAUGGUGUGUGUGGGUAAUCUGCUUUCAGUAAGCACCAUCAGCUGACUAGUAACCCCACUGGCGUACCAGCUCCGCCGUGGAGCGUGGGUGGCCCUAGCACUGACUUGUGGAAGCAGCGGCGGUGGCCCAUGCCUGGGAGGGAGCUUCAUGCUGUGCAUUGGUUGAACACAAGGUGGCAGUAUUACCACACCUGAGCUCCCAUGCCUGCCAGGCCCUCCUCACCCUGUUCCCACACAGGGAGUCUGAUGCAGACUGGGAACGAGGAGCACACACUCACACACACACACCUCUGUCCUCCAAAUAAAAUGACAUAAUAUGUUCA